rnacentral:rRNA from 1 species
UGGGGAAUAUUGGACAAUGGGCGAAAGCCUGAUCCAGCAAUGCCGCGUGAGUGAUGAAGGCCUUAGGGUUGUAAAGCUCUUUUACCCGGGAUGAUAAUGACAGUACCGGGAGAAUAAGCCCCGGCUAACUCCGUGCCAGCAGCCGCGGUAAUACGGAGGGGGCUAGCGUUGUUCGGAAUUACUGGGCGUAAAGCGCACGUAGGCGGCUUUGUAAGUUAGAGGUGAAAGCCCGGGGCUCAACUCCGGAAUUGCCUUUAAGACUGCAUCGCUCGAAUUGUGGAGAGGUAAGUGGAAUUCCGAGUGUAGAGGUGAAAUUCGUAGAUAUUCGGAAGAACACCAGUGGCGAAGGCGACUUACUGGACACAUAUUGACGCUGAGGUGCGAAAGCGUGGGGAGCAAACAGG